AUGGAGAAUGUGCGUACUGAAGUUUCAUAUGUAAACUUAUUGCUGAAAUUGGUAUAUAAUUUGUCACAUUGCAAAGGUAGUGACAGUCUUUACGAAACUUUUUUUGUUUAUUAAGUGUAGUUAUACAAAAUUCCAACCUAAAUUAGUUAUCUUGAAAUCCCUUAAAUGGAGAAAUUCAAAGAGUAAGAUCUCUCUCAAUACAGCUACGAAAUAAAAAAUAACCAUGCGAUUAAGGUAAAAGAAAAGAAAAAAAAAAAAGCAAACCAAACAUAUAAAUGACUUCCAAAUAAACUUACUAACCUUUUCACAAAAUGUGAAAACAAAACUUAAAAAAAAAUUAAUGGCUUCGUAAAUAUGGUGGUCUAAAGCGGUCAGUUUUGUUUUAUGUACUAGGGCCAUUUCCCUCUAUUCAAUUUCAACGAUAAGGUCAGUGUCGCUUCUAUUUAUUCAAUCUCGACGAUAGGCUCAGGGUCUGUGUGUGGGGAUUUGGGGGAGGGGGUUGCGGUUUCCUUAACUCUAUUAUAUUUAUAAACUUUUAUAAGUAGUUAUAGAUUCUAUUUGUUUUAAUAAACACAAAUUAGAUAAUAGAAUCAUUUUGUUUUAAAAUCAAGUUAUAUUUAUGAUCAAUAGUUCUAAAAUUGUAGUGGAGAUGUAGUAGGUUUAGUUUAAAAAAAAAAAAUUAACAUAUUGACUUCAAAAUAAAAAAAAAAAUCCAAGCACGAUUUCUUGGUGUGAUCAAUGGUUGUGUUGAGACUUCUCAUUAAAAAAAACUAGUGAUAUUCCCUCGUGCUUCGCGGUGGGGAUUAAGUCGGUAUCAAUUUAGCUCGUUACAGUACCUGCAUUCGAUAUAGUAAUUGAAAGAGAAAGCAUUACAUUGAUCGAAAACAAAAAAAGCCACAUAUUGAUUUGAUACCUAUAUAUGUUGUUCAGUUGAUAUCAUAUCGGUUCGGUUCGCUUGCAUUUUAUGUUUACUUUAUUUCAACAUUACGAUAUUUUUUUUUGAUAACGGAUAUUUUGCCGCUAUCGUACCAAGCCCAGUCGAAACCAAUUGAACAACAUAUGUAUCGGUACCAAUAUUUUUUUUUAGUUUUUUUGCUUUCAAUAAAUUGAUACUGUAUCGCUACCAUAUUGUACCGAACAUGAUCGGUACCGAUAUACAUUCUGUUUUUUUGUUUCCUGUUUGAUAAUGGGUACUUCGAUCGUAUCUUAAAAGUUAUAUGAAAGAACAAAAUAUACUUAAAUCAAUUAAAGUAAUAAACAAAUAAAAUAAUAAAAUAUUAGAAAACAAUAUUGAAAAAAAUCAAAAACAAUUAUUCCCCUCUUUUUAUUUCAACAUUACGAUAUAUAUUUUUUAAACGGAUUAGUGUCGCUAUUGUACCAAAUUCAAUCAAAACCGAUUGAAAAACAUCUGUAGUCGUAUUAAUAUUUAUUUUCGUAUCGCUACCAUACCGUACUGAACAACAUCGGUACCAAUAUAUAUUCAUUUUUAUGAUUUCUUGUUUGAUAAUUGGUACUUUAAUCGUAUCUUAGAAAUUAUAUAAAAAUAUAUGUUUAAAUUAAUUAAACUAUUAAAACAAUAUAAUAAUAAAAACCUAGAAAAAACAAUAUUAAAAAAACUCAAAACACUGUUCAUGCCCUCUUUCAAUUAAUAUGUAUAAUGUAUAAUAUGUAUAAUGUAUAAUUUUAUAUAUACACUUUUGAACUUUUGAAUAUUAAAUUUCUUUUGAGAAUGACAAGUAUUUAAUUUAUAAUAUACAAUGUUAUCAAAACAUAAUGUAACGAAAAUAUGAUAUUGCCACGUACUAAACUUUGAACUUUAUGAAGUUACCGAGUCAAAUAUCAAAAUUCUUUAUUAGCUAAAAGGAGCGAGGAUAAUAUCAUGACAUAUAUUGGCAAAAACCUGGGGUGCUUUUAUAUUUUAUAAUAGGUAUGCAUAUGAUUUAACUAUUAUAUUGAAAUAAAUAUGUCCAAGGGUUUUAAAGUAUUAAAAAUGACAGUGCAUGCACUAUAAGCUUAUCUUUUUAUGUUAACAAGAAUUAAGCAUCUGCGUUAUGAUGGGAUCGUAAAACCGUGAUAAAUAGUACCAAUGCUACACCAUCGCAAGCGACCAUCAAUACCAAGUCGAUCUAGAAUCCGAAUGUUGCGACAAACCUGUUAAACGGGGAAACUAAACGUACAAUAUUGAGCCACACAUGCACAUUGUGUCGUGUCAACUCGCAUAAUUUUGAACGAAAGGUAUAUAUAAACGUUGACUAUACACAUGUUACGCCGUAUUAACUCAAAAUGUAGAAUGAAACGUAAAACGAAAAUUCGUGAAAAAUGAAAAAUAUAGAAGACCA
rnacentral:lncRNA from 1 species